AUUGAUCAUGACUCGCAGAUGACCCCUAUUGAUUUUGAGGUCACUAGGUCAAAGGUCAAGGUCACUGCGACCCGAAAUAGUAAAAUGAUUUUCGGAUGAUAAUUCAAGAACGCAUAUGCCUAGGAUCAUGAAACUUUAUAGGUAGAUUGAUCAUGACUCGCAGAUGACCCCUAUUGAUUUUCAGGUCACUAGGUCAAAGGUCAAGGUCACAGUGACAAAAGUCGUAUUCACACAAUGGCUGCCAGUACAACGGACAGCCCAUAUGGGGGGCAUGCAUGUUUUACAAAC